rnacentral:rRNA from 1 species
GACGAACGCUGGCGGCGUGCUUAACACAUGCAAGUCGAACGGAAAGGCCCUGCUUUUGUGGGGUGCUCGAGUGGCGAACGGGUGAGUAACACGUGAGUAACCUGCCCUUGACUUUGGGAUAACUUCAGGAAACUGGGGCUAAUACCGGAUAGGAGCUCCUACUGCAUGGUGGGGGUUGGAAAGUUUCGGCGGUUGGGGAUGGACUCGCGGCUUAUCAGCUUGUUGGUGGGGUAGUGGCUUACCAAGGCUUUGACGGGUAGCCGGCCUGAGAGGGUGACCGGCCACAUUGGGACUGAGAUACGGCCCAGACUCCUACGGGAGGCAGCAGUGGGGAAUAUUGCACAAUGGGCGGAAGCCUGAUGCAGCAACGCCGCGUGCGGGAUGACGGCCUUCGGGUUGUAAACCGCUUUCGCCUGUGACGAAGCGUGAGUGACGGUAAUGGGUAAAGAAGCACCGGCUAACUACGU